CUGCAAAAACUGAAAAUUGAUGGUCACAGAUCAGUGUGACCAUCUGUGACCAGCAGAGCCACCCCUCCCCAAACACCCCCCCCCCGACUGGAACGCUGGGUUUUGAAUCUGGGAUAAGACAAAAAUGCAACUUUCAUCCAAUGACCCUGGGACUGGGGACAAAAAUGGAUCCACAAGGGUGUUGGAAGAGAGGGUGGGAUGCUGCCAGCUCAAACAUUCAGGUGCAAAUUGAAAAACCCUCAUUCCAGAUGUGAAUAACACCUUUGAUAAAACUAUUUAUAAUUAUAAAGGAGCACAGCCCAGCUCAGACUACAAACUGCUAAGGGAGCCUGGGUCAGGGCUGAGCAGGGCACUGCCUUUGUCCCUGCUCAAGGGAACUCAGCUGGGAUCACUGCCCUGGAAUAUCACGACAUUCACAGGUAGCCCCAAGGUUUUCACCUUGCCCAAAAUGGGCUCAACUGUGCUGAUAUAAAAGGCAGCUGCAGCACCUUUGAGGGUGUCAGAGUCCCCAAGGUGUGACCCACAGCAUUCCAUCAUCCAGGGGGAAACUCUCCAUUCCCACCUGAGCCUGAGUGAAUACAAACCCAGAUUUUGUGUUCUGUGCACUUUUCUUCUUCAGGGUUUCCCCUCAUCACCUGCUGGAUCCACCCUGUGAACCACCAGUGGGACCAGCAGACACUGAAAUUGCAACAACCAAGUCUCAUCACCAGACCUGGGUGGAAAGAGGAAGAAUCGACAAAGAAACAGAAGAAUCUGUGCUGAGGUGCUGAAGAAAAGGACUUACCCACAGCAAAACUUGCAGCAACCACCUGUGGGGUGAAAACAAACAAAAAAAAAAGUUCUUUAUUGCAACUACAACAGGAACACUGGAGGGUUCCUGGAACCAACAGUCCUGUUGAGGGCUGGAAGGGCUAAAGAGGACGUGGAACCAUAAUGACACUCAGUGGGGAGAGAAAUGGGACCCCCAAACGCUGCACAGCACGAGGCUGAA